rnacentral:pre_miRNA from 1 species
CUACAUCUACCCUGUAGAUCCGAAUUUGUCUGAAAUCUCAGACUCCCUAACAAAUUCGGUUCUAGAGAGGUUUGUGUG